rnacentral:lncRNA from 1 species
UCAUUUUGAACGGUGAGUAUGGGUGGGAGGACAGAGGUCUUAUGUUAGAUGAGUUCUAAAGGCUACUAGAAAGCCCAAAGUGAUGUGCAGUGGAAAAUAACUUAUUGUUCUCAUGCUACUUCCAAUUGCUUUUUAAUCCAACUUUGCUGGCAAAGUUGUCCUCCUCUUUCAUCUCCAGGUUUUAGCUCCACCCUAUGUUAGUGACUUGUUUGUCAGCAAUUUCCCACAACUGUGCUUUCAGUGCUUCGUGCUCUUCCCUUAUGCCAUCUGUAUCUAGUCUGUUGGAUACUGGCAAGUUGUCAGAUGAGCCAUUUGGAUUUUGCAAAAAAAAAAAAA